ACUCAAAUGAAUUGACGGGGACCCGCACAAGCGGAGGAUGAUGUGGUUUAAUUUGUCGAUACGCGGAGAACCUUACCAAGGCUUGACAUCCUAGGAACCCACUGGAAACAGAGGGGUGCCCUCGGGAGCCUAGUGACAGGUGCUGCAUGGCCGUUGUCAGCUCGUGUCGUGAGAUGUUGGGUUAAGUCCCGCAACGAGCGCAACCCUUGUCGUAUGUUGUAUUUUUCAUACGAGACUGCCCGGGCCAACCGGGAGGAAGAUGGGGAUGAAUUCAGGUCAGCAUGGCCCUUACGCCUUGGGCUACACACGUCAUACAAUGGCCAGUACAACGCGUCGCUAAGCCGUGAGGCGGAGCUAAUCGCACCAAAACUGGUCUCAGUUCGGAUUGGAGGCUGCAACUCGCCUCCAUGAAGUCGGAUUCGCUAGUAAACGUGGGUCAGCACACCACGUUGAAUACGUUCCCGGGUCUUGUACACACCGCCCGU
rnacentral:rRNA from 1 species